rnacentral:rRNA from 1 species
GGGGAGGCAGCAGUCGAGAAUAUUCGACAAUGGGCGAAAGCCUGAUCGAGCGACGCCGCGUGUUUGAUGAAGUCCUUCGGGAUGUAAAGAACUUUUCUCAGGGAGGAAGUAAUUGACAGUACCUGAGGAAUAAGGAGCUGCAAAUCACGUGCCAGCAGCCGCGG